CCCGGUGGGAAACUACUGUUUUGUUGUUCCAUGGGAAGGAAAAAUACAAAGUGAAUUAAACUGAAUUAGUUCCUUGGCUGAUCUAGCAAGCCAAGGAGAACGGUCCAGUGCGAUGGCCUGGUCCACUUGACCGGCCCAACUAGAGCUUGGCUCAGCACAAGCUUCCAUCGAAAAAAAAUGGAAAGAGUCAGAACAGAGAAUCGCGAUCCCCUGCCUGAACGGCUCAAACGGUCUCCACUGAGGCACAAUUGGUGCGAACUCUCCGGUCUGGUGUGAAUGGGUAGCGGCCGUUGGGGGCUGUUGUAAUCGGCGAAUGGCCGAUCGGUGCCAUCAUUCGUCCGAGCUUAUCCCCCUCCCAAGGAUCCUAUUUAAAUCCCUCUUUCCCUCAGUCAACCCAUUGCCGCUCACCUCCCCAGCUUCUUCCUUCUUCCUCCUUCUCCAGUGGUCGGCGAACCACCAUGAUCGACUACCACCGCCCUUUUUUUCUCUUUCUUCCUCUUUUCUCGCUUUAGAAUUGCAGCAGCUUGUUACUGUGCUCACCGGAAAUCAAGGCUGGCAACAUCAUCCGAGCCAAGGUCUAGCUAGGAGUCGCCUAGCGAAGUCUGACAAUCUAAGAUAAAAAAGGUACACUAUCGCGCGGGGGGUGGUGAAACUUUGUGCAGGUACACCGUCGCGCGGGAGGUGGCUCUCCUUCCUCUGCUCCAGCCGGCAGCUCCCUUGACUCCCCCGGCGUGGUCACCCUCGCGCCAAAUUUGAACAACAACAAUGAUUAUUAUUAUAUCUAAACUUAUAGUAUAUAAGUAUAAUAAUUUAUAUAAAUAAAUAUAAAAUAUGAGUGAUCUCUUUCUGAUAUCACUAUCUAACAAUAGGAAAGCGUCUCCUCUUGAGUACUGCUUUGUUUUGAGAAUUCAUGACAGACAAAAGUCCAGGAGAGUUGCAGCAUGGUUUUGCUAUGAAGUUUGCAGCCAACAGCUCAUCAUGGACCUAGAACAUGUCAGACUUUGGCACCACAACAUUGCGAACAGCUGCAGCGAAAAAGUUAAGCGAACUUGGAGGUUAUGCUAGUUAAGCCUACAAAGCGCGAAGCUACAUGGAAGCCGUCAGGAUGAUUAAAGGUCAGAUAUCAAGUUUUGCAAGGGAAGGACGCCUAAACUUACAAGUUGUUUAUGAUUUUGCAGUAACUGAAUGCUGUCUAUAACCUUCCAAAUGAGUUCUGAGAACAAAGCAUAAAAUCAUAAAAACCACUUUGUAGCUUUUUGAAAGGUUUUGACAACAAAAUUGUCAACAGUUCAGCAGCAGUUAGACUAUAACUUGUAUCGGCAGGAAAAUGACAUACAACAGACCAUUAUCUCGCUAAAAUGUCCAAAAGUUUUUUCCUCGUU